rnacentral:rRNA from 1 species
AACGAACGCUGGCGGCAGGCCUAACACAUGCAAGUCGAACGAGUAAGAGCCGUAGCAAUACGGAGUUCUGCUAGUGGCGCACGGGUGAGUAACGCGUGGGAACGUGCCUUGGAGUUCGGGAUAACAGUUGGAAACGACUGCUAAUACCGAAUAUUCCCUCAGGGGGAAAGAUUUAUCGCUCCAAGAUCGGCCCGCGUAAGAUUAGGUAGUUGGUGGGGUAAUGGCCUACCAAGCCUACGAUCUUUAGCUGGUCUGAGAGGACGACCAGCCACACUGGAACUGAGACACGGUCCAGACUCCUACGGGAGGCAGCAGUGGGGAAUAUUGGACAAUGGGCGAAAGCCUGAUCCAGCCAUGCCGCGUGAAUGAUGAAGGCCUUAGGGUUGUAAAAUUCUUUUGCAGGGGAAGGAUAAUGACGGUACCCUGCGAAUAAGCUCCGGCUAACUUCGUGCCAGCAGCCGCGGU